UACGUAGGGGGCAAGCGUUGUCCGGAAUCAUUGGGCGUAAAGCGCGUGUAGGCGGCUUGGUAAGUCCGCUCUGAAAGCCCCGGGGCUCAACCCCGGGAGGCGGGUGGAUACUGUCAAGCUCGAGUCCGGAAGAGGCGAGUGGAAUUCCUGGUGUAGCGGUGAAAUGCGCAGAUAUCAGGAGGAACACCAAUGGCGAAGGCAGCUCGCUGGGACGUGACUGACGCUGAGACGCGAAAAGCGUGGGGGAGCAAACAGG
rnacentral:rRNA from 1 species